rnacentral:rRNA from 1 species
UACGAAGGGGGCGAGCGUUGUUCGGAAUUACUGGGCGUAAAGGGCUCGUAGGCGGCCAACUAAGUCAGACGUGAAAUCCCCAGGCUCAACCUGGGAACUGCGUCUGAUACUGGAUGGCUUGAAUCCGGGAGAGGGAUGCAGAAUUCCAGGUGUAGCGGUGAAAUGCGUAGAUAUCUGGAGGAAUACCGGUGGCGAAGGCGGCAUCCUGGACCGGCAUUGACGCUGAGGAGCGAAAGCCAGGGGAGCAAACGGG